GAUGAACGCUAGCGGCAGGCCUAAUACAUGCAAGACGAACGGCAAGAUUUUUAGCAAUAAGAAUCCUAGAGUGUCGUAAGGGUGCGUAACACGUAUGCAAUCUGCCCUCAACAGGAGGAUAGCUCCCCGAAAGGGGAAUUAACACUCCAUAAGAUCACAUAAUGGCAUCAUUGAGUGAUUAAAACUGAGGUGGUUGAGGAUGAGCAUGCGCAUGAUUAGUUAGUUGGCGGGGUAACGGCCCACCAAGACGAUGAUCAUUAGGGGAACUGAGAGGUGGAUCCCCCACACUGGCACUGAGAUACGGGCCAGACUCCUACGGGAGGCAGCAGUAGGGAAUAUUGGACAAUGGGUGCGAGCCCGAUCCAGCCAUGCCGCGUGCAGGAAGACGGCCUUCUGGGUUGUAAACUGCUUUUGCCAGGGGAUAAAACGUCCAUGCGUGGAUAAUUGAAGGUACCUGGUGAAUAAGCCACGGCUAACUACGUGCCAGCCGCCGCCGUAACAC
rnacentral:rRNA from 1 species